rnacentral:rRNA from 1 species
UCCGUGAAGCUGGAUUCGCUAGUAAUCGCGCAUCAGCCAUGGCGCGGUGAAUACGUUCCCGGGCCUUGUACACACCGCCCGUCAAGCCAUGGGAGCCGGGGGUGCUUGAAGUGCGUCGCCGCAAGGCGCGCCCUAGAGCAAAACCGGUGACUGGGGCUAAGUCGUAACAAGGUACC